AACGCGAAGAACCUUACCUGGGCUUGAACUGUGGUGGACCGUUCUGGAAACAGUUCUUCUCCUUCGGGAGCCGCCACAGAGGUGCUGCAUGGCUGUCGUCAGCUCGAGUCGUGAGAUGUUGGGUUAAGUCCCGCAACGAGCGCAACCCCUAUCCUUAGUUGCCAGCGAGUCAAGUCGGGAACUCUAAGGAGACUGCCCCGGAAAUCGGGGAGGAAGGUGGGGAUGACGUCAAGUCCUCAUGGCCUUUAUGUCCAGGGCUACACACGUGCUACAAUGGGCGGUACAAAGGGUUGCAAAGGCGCGAGCCGGAGCUAAUCUCAAAAAACCGUCCUCAGUACGGAUUGCAGUCAGCAACUCGACUGCAUGAAGCUGGAAUCGCUAGUAAUCCCAGAUCAGCACGCUGGGGGAAUACGUUCCCGGGUCUGUACACACCG
rnacentral:rRNA from 1 species